rnacentral:lncRNA from 1 species
GGCCUCUCAAAAGUGGCUCACAUGCUUCCUUGUCCUUUCACACAAAGUGAUCACUGCUCUUUUUUUUGUUUAGAGUCAGGGUCUUGCUCUGUUGCCCAGGCUGGAGUGCAGUGGUGCAAUCAUAGCUACCUGCAGCCUCCAAUUCCUGGGCUCAAGUGAUCUUCCUGCUUCAGCCUCCCAAGCAGAUGGCACUACAGGUACACACGACCAUACCUGGCUAAUUUUUAAAAAUAUUCUGUAGAGGCAGGGUCUUGCUAUCUUUCCCAGGCUGGAACAGUGAUCAUCUUGAAUACCUUUUCUCCCCUGUAGAAACUGUUAUUCCAUCUUUCCUUUUUUCUUUGUGCCUUGUGUGUUCUUUAAGUUGUAUGCAAAAAGUGUCUCUAUUUAAACAUUUUAAAAGUUAUUAUUUAUAGCUUAUAAAUAGGUAUAACAGCAGUAUAGGUAAAUUUUUCACAAACCAGUUAGUUUCUUAAGUAAAUGGUACUCAACAUGAUAGUUAAGGCACCAAAAAGGACCUCUGUAUUUGAGUGACUAAACCUACGCAAUAAAGAGCAGCAUUUUGUACUCAAAAUAAAUUUUGUAGAAAAGGAAACAUGCUGUGUCUUCUAAAGUAAGACAACAAACACACCCAGAAAGGGGGCCCACAGCAUUCCUUUCCUCUCUUUUUCCACCGUAAUUUCCUCCUCAUAUUGCUUUUCCUUUUGUUUACCUUACUCAGGUUCUCCUGUCCCAGCCCCUGGGCUUGCCAGUGAUGCCCAGAGGAUGAUGUGCCUGGUGGCUGAGCUCUUCCAGAACUAAAGACGUGCGGAUCCCUGAGUAUCCAUAACCAUCAAAGCAUGAAGUAAUGCCUUGUAAGUGGUGUCACCACACCUCCCAGAAGAAGGAUGGAUUCCUACCAGAAGCAGUCAAACAUAGUGCCGGAUCAUCUAAGUGAAACGGAUCCCCAUGGGUGCUGCUAUUGGGAUACCAAAGGUCUGAAGUUCAUCCAAUGCAAUAGCAGAAAUAAUUACAUCUGUGAGCAUGUGAGAAGAACCCUGAGUUAGUCCCAAGUGCAAAUCACCAUCUCCAACCAAUUCCUCCACCAAUUGAUGGAUGUUGGGGAGUGGGGUACAGCAACCCCUCCAAGUCCUUCCUCCCUCUAUAUAGCCCAGGAGACUCCCCUCCCACCAGCCUGGCCCCCAGAGUGCUGACUGGCAACAAUAUUCCAAGUUAAAAUAGUUUGCUAAAUAGUUAUACAAUUAGUUUACAAUUCAAAUAUAUCAGAGGAAAAGACAGGGAAAAAAAUUCUAAGAUACAUGAAUCCCAGACCAUUGCUCUCCAAAUAUUUUCAAGUGAUUCAUCUCCUUUAUUUAAAAAAUGAAUUAACCACCAGAUGGGACACUCAUACAUUCCUGAUGGUUGUAGGAAUCAGUAGACCCUGUAUGGAAAGCAAUAGGAUAAUAUUUCAUAGGAUCAAAUUAAAAUGUUCACAGCAUUGGUUCCAGGAAAUUGGCUUCUGGAGAAUUUAUACUCCAGAAACAAUUCAACAAAAGAACACAGCUCUGUGCAUGCAGAUGCUCAUUAGCCCAUCACCUAGAGUAAGGGAAAGUGGAGAUCCCAAUGAACAACAAUGAGAUGGGUUAGCGAACUGUGACCUAUCAGCCCAAUGGACAUUUAAGCAAUCACUGAAAAGUAGAAACAUGAAGAUAUUACACAACAUGGAAACUGUUUAUGGAGUAUAUUUAGGUAAAAAGGAAAAAAAGGCAGAACUGUAUAUCUGUGGUUGGAUAUACUUUUUUUUUUUUAAUAUUAAGCACCAACCAAAAGAAGAAAGGAGGAUAGAAAAAAUAAAAUGGAAGAUGUAGGGUGGGCAGAUUAGGGCUGCGUUUGUUGCUUGCUUUCAUGUUACCAUCAUAGCGUUUUUGCCACUUACAAAGGAGGAAAAAAAUCAAUUCUGUGCCAACCCAGACAACAGAGACCUGAGUGGGGGUUGGGAAGAGAGAUUUUUCAGCACAGAAUCAGACUCCUUCUCCAAAGAGCUGUGUGGCCUUCACCUGCAAGGCGACCUCUUCCACAAGCAGAGGCCAGGACAAAAAGAGGCACCUGUGAGCGACAAAGACGGUUUCCUUGGUUUCCCUCACGGCGCCAAGCGGAGUGGCCGCCUCCCACCACAGGGCCCCCUAAUGGGCGCUUUUGUCCUGCGGGGCAGAGGGACCUCAUUAGAAGGCGCUGGUGCUAAAGGGAAAUGCAUUUCCAGAACAGGAGGUUUCAUCAUUCCUAGCGUUAGCGACAGAAUGGUGACAGAAGCUCUGUGGACGUAUUUUCCAGCGUUCAGUUCACAUCAAGGAUGGGUAUGCACUGGCGGAAAAGGUCAGCUCGCAGAAUGAUCGCCCAUCCACACAGCGUUUGGAGGUCAGACGUUCCUGAUGACUGUGAAAAUGGGGAGGUGAGAAGAGGUCGUCAAAGGGAGCAGCCUUUUAAAGCCAGGUACAGGUUAAAGCCCUGAGGCCAGAGCCUUGCCCAGGCUCCUCUAGCGUGGAGAGCUCCCGCCUUACGGUACAGCUGGCACCUGCUGGUCCCCAGGGCCCUUCGCUGCGACUGCGGCAGACAACCUUGGCAAAGAUGCUGGGGACCGCCCGGGCUGGAAAACGUCGGCCUCUGGCGCUUGAGAAAGGCCAGGCGGACUCCUGCAAUACCCUCGGUAAACUGUCACCUGUCAAUCACUUGACCUAAAUACACCAGCCACUGGAGGAAGGGGAGGAGGGGGUUAGUCGGAGCAUGCUCAGUGAUCAGGAUGACAUCACUUAAUCAAUGCUGGGGACGGGAAGGCUGCAUCAGCAGCCUGGAGCAGGCUGCCAGGAACGUGUCAGCGGGGACCGGGAGGCUCCCAUUAACUCGGUCCCUCCCCACGCGGCUCGCAUACAAAGGGGGCACCAUCAGCCACACACGCUACGGACAGCGGGCGGGGAAGGGGCGGGGGACCGAGCUGGUUUGUUUCAUCUGACAGAUUCCUUUAAGAACUACAAUCCAUUGGUGUUCCCUCCCCCUACCAGCAGCCCCAGCUGCAGAGAGGGAGCUAAGUAGGGGGAGGGGGUGGGGGAGAAAAGGUGGGGAAGGGAGAUAGAGAGGGAGGGGGGUCCGAGCCGCACGAAGUAACUUCUGCUCUUGGCACAGGGGGCUACUGCGCUCUGAGCCCCCUCGCCCCACAGAUGUGGACACAGCCUCCUCUCCACCCAGCGUGAGGCGCAUCAGAGGGUCUGCAGACAUGGGAGGGAGGUCAUCCCAGAGGGGAGGGAUCAAGCCGGGACUCCACAUCCAGGGCAGCCAGGCGUGAGAGGAAGCGGGAGACACACCAGGCCUCCAGGGGACACCGAGGCCACCAGUACUCCCCCAACCCUCCGCCUUCCGCGCGCGGAGCCAGGUGUAACACCGCGGGGAGCCGCGUCUACACUGCCGCGGGAGCUCCGAGACGCGACUAGAAAUUUUCCUGUACCCCUUUUUCUUUCUUUUUUGCUAGGGUCGUGAGAAGAAGAGGCAAGGCGUUUGGUAAAUCGAAUUGAUUGAUGCCCAGAAGCAUUUGCGGGUUGCAGAGCUCACACUUUAAAGGGGGCCUGGGCACCCGGCUUGAGGGUCACCCGAACACACUACCCACGCGGCGAGGCGAGCGUGGGGAACAAUGGGCCCACCCGGGCCCCCACCCGGCGAACAAUGGCGGCGC